UAGAGUUUUGAAUCCUGGCUCAGGACGAACGCUGGCGGCGUGCCUAAUACAUGCAAGUCGAACGAACUCUGGUAUUGAUUGGUGCUUGCAUCAUGAUUUACAUUUGAGUGAGUGGCGAACUGGUGAGUAACACGUGGGAAACCUGCCCAGAAGCGGGGGAUAACACCUGGAAACAGAUGCUAAUACCGCAUAACAACUUGGACCGCAUGGUCCGAGCUUGAAAGAUGGCUUCGGCUAUCACUUUUGGAUGGUCCCGCGGCGUAUUAGCUAGAUGGUGGGGUAACGGCUCACCAUGGCAAUGAUACGUAGCCGACCUGAGAGGGUAAUCGGCCACAUUGGGACUGAGACACGGCCCAAACUCCUACGGGAGGCAGCAGUAGGGAAUCUUCCACAAUGGACGAAAGUCUGAUGGAGCAACGCCGCGUGAGUGAAGAAGGGUUUCGGCUCGUAAAACUCUGUUGUUAAAGAAGAACAUAUCUGAGAGUAACUGUUCAGGUAUUGACGGUAUUUAACCAGAAAGCCACGGCUAACUACGUGCCAGCAGCCGCGGUAAUACGUAGGUGGCAAGCGUUGUCCGGAUUUAUUGGGCGUAAAGCGAGCGCAGGCGGUUUUUUAAGUCUGAUGUGAAAGCCUUCGGCUCAACCGAAGAAGUGCAUCGGAAACUGGGAAACUUGAGUGCAGAAGAGGACAGUGGAACUCCAUGUGUAGCGGUGAAAUGCGUAGAUAUAUGGAAGAACACCAGUGGCGAAGGCGGCUGUCUGGUCUGUAACUGACGCUGAGGCUCGAAAGUAUGGGUAGCAAACAGGAUUAGAUACCCUGGUAGUCCAUACCGUAAACGAUGAAUGCUAAGUGUUGGAGGGUUUCCGCCCUUCAGUGCUGCAGCUAACGCAUUAAGCAUUCCGCCUGGGGAGUACGGCCGCAAGGCUGAAACUCAAAGGAAUUGACGGGGGCCCGCACAAGCGGUGGAGCAUGUGGUUUAAUUCGAAGCUACGCGAAGAACCUUACCAGGUCUUGACAUACUAUGCAAAUCUAAGAGAUUAGACGUUCCCUUCGGGGACAUGGAUACAGGUGGUGCAUGGUUGUCGUCAGCUCGUGUCGUGAGAUGUUGGGUUAAGUCCCGCAACGAGCGCAACCCUUAUUAUCAGUUGCCAGCAUUAAGUUGGGCACUCUGGUGAGACUGCCGGUGACAAACCGGAGGAAGGUGGGGAUGACGUCAAAUCAUCAUGCCCCUUAUGACCUGGGCUACACACGUGCUACAAUGGAUGGUACAACGAGUUGCGAACUCGCGAGAGUAAGCUAAUCUCUUAAAGCCAUUCUCAGUUCGGAUUGUAGGCUGCAACUCGCCUACAUGAAGUCGGAAUCGCUAGUAAUCGCGGAUCAGCAUGCCGCGGUGAAUACGUUCCCGGGCCUUGUACACACCGCCCGUCACACCAUGAGAGUUUGUAACACCCAAAGUCGGUGGGGUAACCUUUUAGGAACCAGCCGCCUAAGGUGGGACAGAUGAUUAGGGUGAAGUCGUAACAAGGUAACCGUAAGUUU
rnacentral:rRNA from 2 species